CGUGUCGGAAGAAGGGCUUCGGGUGGUAAACUGCUUUUGUACGGAACGAAACGGCGAGCUCUAAUACAGUUUGCUAAUGACGGUACCGUAAGAAUAAGCACCGGCUAACUACGUGCCAGCAGCCGCGGUAAUACGUAGGGUGCAAGCGUUAAUCGGAAUUACUGGGCGUAAAGCGUGCGCAGGCGGUUUUGUAAGACAGUCGUGAAAUCCCCGGGCUCAACCUGGGAAUUGCGAUUGUGACUGCAAAGCUGGAGUGCGGCAGAGGGGGAUGGAAUUCCGCGUGUAGCAGUGAAAUGCGUAGAUAUGCGGAGGAACACCGAUGGCGAAGGCAAUCCCCUGGGCCUGCACUGACGCUCAUGCACGAAAGCGUGGGGAGCAAACAGGAUUAGAUACCCUGGUAGUCCACGCCCUAAACGAUGUCAACUGGUUGUUGGGUCUCUUCUGACUCAGUAACGAAGCUAACGCGUGAAGUUGACCGCCUGGGGAGUACGGCCGCAAGGUUGAAAACUCAAA
rnacentral:rRNA from 1 species